AUUGAACGCUGGCGGCAGGCCUAAAACAUGCAAGUCGAGCGAGCGGCGGACGGGUGAGUAAUGUAUGGGGAUCUGACCGAUAGAGGGGGAUAACUAUUGGAAAAGGUGGCUAAUACCGCAUACUAUCGGAGGAUCCCAUAUGUGAUUAGCGAGUAGGUGGGGUAAAGGCUCCCAUCGGCGACGAGCACUAGCUGGUCGGAGAGGAUGAUCAGCCACACGGGGACGUGGAGCAGGCCCACACUCCUACGGGAGGCAGCAGUGGGUAAUAUUGCACAAUGGGCGCAAGCCUGAUGCAGCCAUGCCGCGUGUAUGAAGCAGGCCUUAGGGUUGUAAAGUACUUUCAGCGGGGAGGCGUUACCCGCAGAAGAAGCACCGGCUAACUCCGUGCCAGCAGCCGCGGUAAUAC
rnacentral:rRNA from 1 species